rnacentral:rRNA from 1 species
ACCGAUUUAAUCGUUGGCAUGCGGGGGAUACUGCUCGGCUAGGGGACGAGAGAGGCAGACGGUAUUCUCGGGGUAGGGGUGAAAUCCUAUAAUCCCAGGAAGACCACCAGUGGCGAAGGCUGUCUGCUAGAACGCGCCCGACGGUGAGGGAUGAAAGCUGGGGGAGCGAACCGGAUUAGAUACCCGGGUAGUCCCAGCUGUAAACGAUGCAGACUAGGUGUUUGGACGGCCACGUGCCGUUCUAGUGCCGCAGGGAAGCUGUUAAGUCUGCCGCCUGGGGAGUACGAUCGCAAGAUUGAAACUUAAAGGAAUUGGCGGGGGAGCACCACAAGGGGUGAAGCUUGCGGUUUAAUUGGAGUCAACGCCGGAAAUCUCACCGGGAGCGACAGCAGUGUGAAGGCCAGAUUAAAGGUCUUGCUAGACGAGCUGAGAGGAGGUGCAUGGCCGUCGCCAGUUCGUGCCGUGAGGUGUCCUGUUAAGUCAGGCAACGAUCGAGACCCGCGUCCUCUGUUGCUACCAGUUUUGCGCUGGGCACACUGAGGAGACCGCCACUGAUAAAGUGGAGGAAGGAGCGGGCCACGGCAGGUCAGUAUGCCCCGAAUCUCCCGGGCCACACGCGAGCUGCAAUGGCAGGUACAAUGGGUUCCGACCUCGAAAGGGGGAGGCAAUCUCGAAAACCUGCCGUAGUUGGGAUCGAGGGCUGUAACCCGCCCUCGUGAACAUGGAAUCCCUAGUAAUCGCGUGUCAUCAGCGCGCGGUGAAUACGUCCCUGCUCCUUGCACACACCCCCCGU